CGUAAUUUCAAAUCAUGGUUGUAGGGCUACCUUUUUGAUUAUUAUCAAAACGGAACAAAAACAAAUGUCAACGUGUUAAAAUUUUUCCGGAAGACAUUCUUUGAGAAGAAAUACCGUUAUUCGACGAACUGGUAAAGAGAAAGCAGGCGAUGUCAACGGGUUCAAUAGUCAUAGAAGAAGGUGUGGAGGCCUACAGCAUACGAGAACGAGAACUAUGUACACCUAUCAGCAGCAGCAGCAGCAGCAAUGAAGGUCACACAGCAGCUAGCAAACCAGCAUUGUAGAUGCCAUUUAUGCUCUUCUCUAGCCAUCGCCCUCUCAUUCUAUCAAACUACUCCCAUCUCUGUCCUCUCUCCCUAUCUCGCUCUCACUGUGGGUUAUACACACGUUUAAUUGCCAAAUUGGUGCAAUUCGACGUAAUUCAUCUUGAUACAAGAGUUAUCCACCACCACCAAGACACAAGGUUUCCCAUCCGACAAUAAACAGCAAAGAUUCGCACGUUUAUUAAAAAACUUGAAAAAUGAUAGCACACGAUCUUUUGGUCUACGGUUCGCUGGUGGCGUAAAUCUCAUAAUUGAUAACAGUAAGUGCUAAAUAGCUGUAUAAAUAUCUAGACGUCUACUGGGUAAACACCUUAGCCUUUGCCAUCGUCACUGUUGAUGCCCGAACUCAAGACUCACGAAUUUCUUGCAUCCGGUCACAUAGCGAGCCCAGUUUAAGUGGCAAUUUCUGUGUUUGCCCCUGCUACAAAUUUGUCAAACCCAACAAUACUCGGGGGGGCCAAGGUCAAGACGGUGAGUGAUGAUCAUCGUAGCUUUUGUUGUUGCUGGCUUUUUGCGUCCGGCGUGCGGUCAACUUGCCAUAUCAUUGACCUUAAGUGACGAACGUGAAGAGGCUGGCGCAUUGAAUAAGCCAAGAUUAUCAACUUAUUCGUAGCAUUUGAUUGCACUCACAAUUGAAAGUGAAGUUCAAUUGCUGGCACCUCUCAGUGUGAGAGUCAAAACUGCUCCAUCUUCCAGCUCUAGACCUACAAUUGCUUAGAUGCCCCAUGGCACAAUCUAAACAACACGAAUUACGUCUAUUAAAGGUCAACCGAAAUGGGUAAAACGUUAAGUAAAUCAAAGCAAACAAACGGCGCACUUUGUUAAUUGUUCGCAUACAUAUGUAUAUACAUACAUAUAUAUAGUUAUAUUUUCUAUUCCGAUUUUCAUUGAUUUAUUAUAUGGCGGCAUUCCGUGUAGAAAAUAUUGCUUCCUCCAAACCCCAUAAAAAGGAAAAAAGAAACAAAAGAUGCGUCAAGAAACGAAAGAUUCAAGACACGAACUUGGCCAACAAUAAGCCACAAAAUAAUUGUUGUUAACAAGCAAUAUACCAACUAAUUGUAUGCUCCAAUACACUCUAUAAUCAUAACCGGGUUAUAUGACUUCAUCAGACUUGGCAUAGUUUCAACUCGAUCAUUUUUAUAUAGAGCAAAUUAAAAAACUUCUAUCAAAAUUUGGUUUUGGCGUUAUCUGACAUAAUCAUCUUACUCGAUUUUGAAAAAUUCAAUCCAAUUUUAUGCAAAAACGAAA